CCUCAGAGACAGGGUCACCAGUCUCAGCCGAGUGUACCUAAUACUGCCUAUUAUCCAAGAGUCUUGGUUCCCUGAGCUUCUUGUCUCCUCGGGUGAACGAAACCCUGGUGACUUUGGUGACCAAGCUUGUCGCCACUUGAGUUUCUGAUCCCCAUCCUGAAAUUCCAUGAAGUCCGAUCCACGAGAAAACGCAAAGAUGAGGAUACUGAGGCUUCAAGAGUUUUUAUUCGCCCACAAAGUUUGUCUCUUUGCCAGGGCACCCAAGGUGAAAGAAAACUUGUUGAGGCCUGGAAGCCCACUUGCAUCAUAAUUAGACUGCCUGGCCAAAUGAAAACCACCACCGUCUCUAGGAACAACUUCCAAGUUUGGGGUACUCGCAAAGCUCUGGGCCAAGGCAGCGUUAGCAGGACCUGCGCUCUCUUCUUGCCUCUGAAUGAAUUUAAGGAGUGAAGACUGAGAACUGCCAGGCGCCGUAACUCUGCCCCUGACUUUGGUUUGGUUUUUACAAGCGAACACGCACACUUAGGCUAUCCUCAGACCUGUGAGCUCAUCAUGAGUGGAGCCCCAUAACCCACCUGCACCAGGGCUGAGCCAGAGCCACCGAACACUGAAUCCCACACUAUGGAGAGUCUUCUCUCAGGAAGUGACAGUGCUACUACGAUACAAAGAUGGCUCAAUUUAAAAAUGCUUAUUUAUGACAAUAAAAAUUAUUCAAUUUGUUA